AAUACUAAUCCUGAAACUAUUCUGUAAAUUCUCCAUAGGUAAGUGCUAAUACUCGCCUGAGCAUCCCACCUAGUGGUUAGUGAGGACAGAUUAAAUGCACAGACGCGACACAGCACAGGAGGCACAUGCAGUCUUGGCCACCCUACUAUCCAGUUCUUGCAAAGCCACUACCCAGAAACUGAUGCUUGGUUCCUCUGCAUGCUCUUUAAGGUCACAGUCACCUCUAUGAGCAAACUCCAUGGGCAAGAGUUGUUUUGCAUGCAAAAGGCUUACUUCUUAUGAGUACACCAAAAAUACCCUAACACAAUGGGUUGUUAUUGAUUAAAACAUCCUUUUUUUUGAAACUCUGAGCUAUUGAUCCUACGACCUACUAAAUACACUUUUUUUCUCCUUGGUCGUAGCAACAAACGCAAGUGGGUAGAAUGCAUUACAAAGUAUGCCUCAUUAAUUAUUACUUAAUACUGUGCUGCUCAUUUUGGUUCCAAGAAGUACACUGCCUCAAGGCAAAAUGGAAGUUCUGAUUUAUUUUGCAAAGAUAAAUGACAAAAGACAUGUGAAUUUUUAAGUAGCUGGAAGGAAGCUGGUUUUUCGAUCUGAUUCAACUCCCAACCUUCACCUGGUAGUGGCCAAGACAUUUCUAUGAAGAGAAAAUAGCUCACUCUUUCCAGAGAUUUUAGUCAUUUAUUCCAAGGAAAGCAAAAUAUUUCCAUAGCUUGUAUACUAUCUGUUAAUUAAUUGGACCUAUUUUCACAUUAGGUUGUUGCCUGUUUCUGUUUUGCUUUGUUCUUCCUUAAUUGUUCUUACUGAACUCAGCUUCACAUAAUCCUCUGAGCAAUAGCCCCAAAAUUGCAGUGUUGUGUUUAACCUAUUUCUAAGAUAAAAUAAACUGCUUUCCUCCAUACUUAAGUGGAAAUCUCCUCUUAUUGUUCUUAUGCACCAUAUUCUUUUCUGGGAUGUUAUUCCUCAUAAAAGCUUUUUCUUAUUACAGAACAUGGGACACAUGAACAGCUUGGACCUUCUGAUGUAGAGUGGUGAGACUGUUCUAGAAAUUUGAAAUUUGAGUGGACCACUGAGGGAGACCAUGGAGUCAGAAGCUGAAGGGUUGGAGGUUUUAUCCUAUUUGCAAACUAACAAGUUAUACACAGCCUCAGACGAGGCCUCAAAGAAGCCAUUGAAGAUGCUUAUCAGUUUAGACAGUGUCUAUGGAGCCUAGAGGUUGCUCGAAGAGACCUCAGGUUCCACCAGGCAUUGAAUUUUCAGACAGCUCUGCAUGUGGAUGGAGAUAGACACCCUCGCGAACACAUACCACUUCCUGAAGAACUCAACACUGACAGUUUGGAAGAAAAUGCAAAUUUGUUUUUAUCAGAUAAACUUAGGAAAACACUACUGAAAAAUCUACUCAUUUCAAAAGAGGAGUGUCCAAGUGCUUACAAUGUCACCCGAAGUGCUUAAAGAAGCGGCCCUCACCAGCUAUGUUGCCUGGGAGCUGCCCAGCCCGAAGAAAGCCCAGACUGUGACUGCUUUAGUCAAUGUGUUUGGAAGUAGAAGCAAGAAAUCCCCAGGAUGUGAACAUCUCCAGUCUGUAGGCAUAGACUACAAUAAAUUUAUAUAUCCCUGAUCAUCUUGGGCAAUCGUUUUUUCUUGGCUGUUUAUAGGCAUGGAUUUUCCACUCAUGCAUCUUGUGCCAUGUCCUCCAGAGAAAUUCAGUAAGAUUUUCACAGCAUAUUCACUAUACUUGAAUGCAUGCCAAAUCAACAUUUAUUAGAUGUUUCUGAAUUUGAUUAUUUCAAUGGAUAUUUUUGGCAUUUUAGAAAAAAAUCCGGUUUUUAAUUUAAAGAAUUGCUCCUCUAUCCUAUCCUAUUCUAACCAUUAUAGCUUGCCCCUCCAGGACUCUAAUCUUUUCCUUCUUCAGGUCUUCAUGGCUCCUGUACCACCCUUGCAAAAUAUUGUAUUUUACCUCUUAUUGUUUGUAUUUAUGUCCUUCAUUAGGCUGAAAGUUAUUUAAGGCGGGAUUUGCCUUACUCAUCUUUGUAUUGUCUCUAACAUUUAGCAAGUGUUAGGAAAUAAGUGUUGAGAUUAAUUUUAUAUAAUUACUUGGCAUAAACGGUAUGAGUUAUACUUUCCUAGAUAAUUAGUACAAAAUACCACAGAUUGCAUUCAUUGUAUCACUCACAUCCAUCAAUCAAAAGCCUCUGUUCAUUACUCUGCAUUUUUAAUGGUUAAUGUCACUAAAAAUCUCCUAGAUAUCUCCCCAUCACCUCCACGAAUUCCCUCCUUCAUCAGGCACCGGGUCCUAUUGUUUCUUUUCUGCAAUUUUUCCUCCUUAGUUUCAUUUCUUCUGUCUUGUCAGAGGUCUAUUAUUUCAUAAGAGGCUCUGUGUAAGACCUUGCUAAUUUGUCUUACUCCCCUCUCGUGAAUCACCCUCACCACUGGCCAAGGUAACCUUCCUAACACAGAUUAAGAUCUUAUUUUUCUUCCUCAAAGACAAAAGACCACUAUCAAUUACCCCAAACCUAAGUGGUUUCUCCCCUGGCCCUCAAUGAUUACAAGUCAGGCCUAAUUUUUAGUUCAUCAGCUCCACAAACCCCACACUCAGGCAGCCUAGGUCAUUCACCAGUUCCAACAUUUUACACACUUUUUAUCACCUGAUAGCUUUGCCUAGACAGUUUCCCAAAAUUUCAAAAAUUCUGUAUGAAGCUCAGAUUUAUGUAGAGUUGAGUUCAAGAGAGGUAAAAGGGAAGUACCUGAAACUUCUUCAGCCGUUAGCAGUCCUGCAUUUCUUUAUCCAUAAGAGUACAGAAGAACUAAAGCCAGAGGCAGAGACACUCAACAUUACCCCUAUGAUAUAUACCAUUCAGGUAUCAAACUCCUGGAAAGCAAAAAGUGAUUAUACAUUUUGACUGUGCAAGGACAGGGAUUUUUGUUUUGUUCCCUGAUCUCCCAAGUACCCAGAACAGUGUCUGCCACACAGUAGAAAUUAAUAAACACCUGUUGCAU